rnacentral:rRNA from 1 species
GGAGGCAGCAGUGGGGAAUAUUGGACAAUGGGCGAAAGCCUGAUCCAGCCAUGCCGCGUGGGUGAAGAAGGCCUUAGGGUUGUAAACCCCUUUCAGCGGGGAAGAUAAUGACGGUACCCGCAGAAGAAGUCCCGGCUAACUCCGUGCCAGCAGCCGCGGUAAUACGGAGGGGACUAGCGUUGUUCGGAAUUACUGGGCGUAAAGCGCACGUAGGCGGAUUUGUAAGUCAGGGGUGAAAUCCCGGGGCUCAACCUCGGAACUGCCUUUGAUACUGCAAAUCUUGAGUCCGGAAGAGGUGAGUGGAAUUCCUAGUGUAGAGGUGAAAUUCGUAGAUAUUAGGAAGAACACCAGUGGCGAAGGCGGCUCACUGGUCCGGUACUGACGCUGAGGUGCGAAAGCGUGGGGAGCGAACAGGAUUAGAUACCCUGGUAGUCCACGCCGUAAACUAUGGGUGCUAGCCGUCGGGGAGCUUGCUCCUCGGUGGCGCAGCAAACGCAUUAAGCACUCCGCCUGGGGAG